CAUUCAUAUAGUGGGGCGUCUUCGAGUUGUCCUUCUUAUACACAGUUACAAAAUCAGGUUUCUUCAUUAACAUCGCAAGUCAAUGAAAUGAAGGCAAUGAUGACUUUCUUUGUACAAAACUAUCAAGGAGAAUUGCCUCAUGACUUUCCUGUGUUUCAUUCAUCAUCGGUAUCUGAUCAGGGGAGUGUUCCCAAUGGAGAAGCAAAUGACUC